rnacentral:rRNA from 1 species
UGGGGGAUAUUGCGCAAUGGGGGAAACCCUGACGCAGCAACGCCGCGUGAAGGAAGAAGGUCUUCGGAUUGUAAACUUUUGUCUUUAGGGAAGAAUGAUGACGGUACCUAAGGAGGAAGCCACGGCUAACUACGUGCCAGCAGCCGCGGUAAUACGUAGGUGGCAAGCGUUGUCCGGAUUUACUGGGUGUAAAGGGUGCGUAGGCGGGACUACAAGUCAGGUGUGAAAAUUAUGGGCUUAACUCAUAACCUGCACUUGAAACUGUAGUUCUUGAGUGAUGGAGAGGUAAGUGGAAUUCCCAGUGUAGCGGUGAAAUGCGUAGAUAUUGGGAGGAACACCAGUGGCGAAGGCGACUUACUGGACAUUAACUGACGCUGAGGCACGAAAGCAUGGGGAGCAAACA